rnacentral:rRNA from 1 species
UAAAACGUAGGACACAAGCGUUAUCCGGAGUUACUGGGCGUAAAGGGCGUUUAGGCGGGUGAUUAAGUUCGCUAUGAAAGCGCCAGGCUAAACCUGGCGAGGCUGGCGGAUACUGGUCAUCUGGAGUGAGGGAGAGGGAAGUAGAAUUCCGCGUGUAGUGGUGAAAUGCGUAGAGAUGCGGAGGAAUACCAGUGGCGAAGGCGACUUCCUGGCCCUCAACUGACGCUGAAGCGCGAAAGCAUGGGGAGCGAACGGGAUUAGAAACCCCGGUAGUCCAUGCCGUAAACGAUGUGCACUAAACGUUCGGUUUCCGCGAGGGAGCCGGGUGUUGAAGCUAACGCGGUAAGUGCACCGCCUGGGGAGUACGGUCGCAAGGCUA